rnacentral:rRNA from 1 species
AGUAUAGUGGCGCACGGGUGAGUAAUAAAUGGGAACAUACCUUUCGGAGGGGAACAACCACGGGAAACGGUGGCUAAUACCGCAUAACAUCGAAAGAUCAAAGGUGGCCUCUACUUGUAAGCUACCGCCGAAAGAUUGGCCUAUUCCCCAUUAGCUUGUUGGUAAGGUAAUGGCUUACCAAGGCUACGAUGGGUAGCUGGUUUGAGAGGACGAUCAGCCACACUGGAACUGAGACACGGUCCAG